CUAACCCUCGCUGCUAAGCUAUCCCUCGCUGCUAAGCUAACCCUCGCUGCUAAGCUAACCCUCGCUGCUAAGCUAUCCCUUGCUGCUAAGCUAUCCCUCACUGCUAAGCUAUCCCUCACUGCUAAGCUAUCCCUUGCUGCUAAGCUAUCCCUCACUGCUAAGCUAUCACCACUGUCAACCUAUCUAUCGCUGCUAAUCAAUCACUGCUAAUCUAUCACUGCCAACCUAUCUACCGCGGCGAAUCUAUCCAUUGCUGCCAAUUUAUCUACCACUGUCAAUCUAUCUAUUGCUGCUAAUCUAUCACUGCUAAUCUAUCGCUGCCAACCUAUCUACCGCGGCGAAUCUAUCCAUUGCUGCCAAUUUAUCUACCACUGCUAAGCUAUCUCUCACUGCUAAGCUAUCCCUUGCUGCUAAGCUAUCCCUUGCUGCUAAUCUAUCUCUCACUGCUAAGCUAUCUCUUGCUGCCAAUCUAUUGCUGCUAAUCUAUCACUGUCAAUCAAUC
rnacentral:sRNA from 1 species